rnacentral:rRNA from 1 species
GAUUUUUGGACAAUGGGGGCAACCCUGCUCCAGCCACGCCGCGUGUGUGAAGAAGGCCUUUUGGUUGUAAAGCACUUUAAGCAGUGAAGAAGACUCCAUGGUUAAUACCCAUUGACGAUGACAUUAGCUGCAGAAUAAGCACCGGCUAACUCUGUCCCAGCAGCCGCGGUAAUACAGAGGGUGCAAGCGUUAGGCGGAAUUGCUGGGCGUAAAGCGAGCGUAGGUGGCUUGAUAAGUCAGAUGUGAAAACCACGGGCUUAACCUGGGAACUGCAUCUGAUACUGUUAGGCUAGAAUAGGUGAGAGGAAGGUAGAAUUCCAGGUGUAGCGGUGAAAUGCGUAGAGAUCUGGAGGAAUACCGAUGGUGAAGGCAGCCUUCUGGCAUCAUAUUGACACUGAGGUUCGAAAGCGUGGGUAGCAAAC